rnacentral:rRNA from 1 species
AUACAGAGGGUGCGAGCGUUAAUCGGAAUUACUGGGCGUAAAGCGCGCGUAGGCGGCUUAUUAAGUCAGAUGUGAAAUCCCCGGGCUCAACCUGGGAACUCCAUCUGAUACUGGUAAGCUAGAGUUUUGGAGAGGGAAGUAGAAUUUCAGGUGUAGCGGUGAAAUGCAUAGAGAUCUGAAGGAAUACCAGUGGCGAAGGCGACUUCCUGGCCAAAAACUGACGCUGAGGUGCGAAAGCGUGGGUAGCAAACGGGAUUAGAUACCCUAGUAGUCC